rnacentral:rRNA from 1 species
UACGUAGGGGGGCAAGCGUUGUCCGGAUUUACUGGGCGUAAAGGGCGCGCAGGCGGCCGGCCAAGUCAGGCGUGAAAGCCCCGGGCUUAACCUGGGAAUUGCGCUUGUGACUGGCGUGCUGGAGUGUGGCAGAGGGAGGUGGAAUUCCACGUGUAGCAGUGAAAUGCGUAGAGAUGUGGAGGAACACCGGUGGCGAAGGCGGGAUCCUGGGCCAGUACUGACGCUGAGGAGCGAAAGCGUGGGAGCAACAGG